UACGUAGGGGGCAAGCGUUGUCCGGAUUUAUUGGGCGUAAAGAGCUCGUAGGCGGCUGUCCACGUCGGAUGUGAAAGCUCAGGGCUCAACCCUGAGAGGCCAUUCGAUACGGGACGGCUAGAGGUAGGUAGGGGAAAGUGGAAUUCCUGGUGUAGCGGUGAAAUGCGCAGAUAUCAGGAGGAACACCGGUGGCGAAGGCGGCUUUCUGGGCCGUAACUGACGCUGAGGAGCGAAAGCUGGGGGAGCGAACAGG
rnacentral:rRNA from 1 species